UAGGGAAUAUUGGACAAUGGGGGCAACCCUGAUCCAGCCAUGCCGCGUGAGUGAAGAAGGCCCUCGGGUUGUAAAGCUCUUUUGUCCGGAAAGAAAAGCUUCGGGUUAAUACCCCGGGGUUCUGACGGUACCGGAAGAAUAAGCACCGGCUAACUACGUGCCAGCAGCCGCGGUAAUACGUAGGGUGCAAGCGUUAAUCGGAAUUACUGGGCGUAAAGCGUGCGCAGGCGGUUUUGUAAGACGGAUGUGAAAUCCCCGGGCUUAACCUGGGAACUGCAUUCGUGACUGCAAGGCUAGAGUAUGGCAGAGGGGGGUAGAAUUCCACGUGUAGCAGUGAAAUGCGUAGAGAUGUGGAGGAAUACCGAUGGCGAAGGCAGCCCCCUGGGCCAAUACUGACGCUCAUGCACGAAAGCGUGGGGAGCAAACA
rnacentral:rRNA from 1 species